rnacentral:rRNA from 1 species
UACGUAGGGUGCGAGCGUUGUCCGGAAUUACUGGGCGUAAAGAGCUCGUAGGUGGUUUGUCGCGUUGUUCGUGAAAACUCACAGCUUAACUGUGGGCGUGCGGGCGAUACGGGCAGACUGGAGUACUGCAGGGGAGACUGGAAUUCCUGGUGUAGCGGUGGAAUGCGCAGAUAUCAGGAGGAACACCGGUGGCGAAGGCGGAUCUCUGGGCAGUAACUGACGCUGAGGAGCGAAAGCGUGGGGAGCGAACAGG